rnacentral:rRNA from 1 species
UCGAGAAUCUUCGGCAAUGGACGAAAGUCUGACCGAGCGACGCCGCGUGCGGGAUGAAGGCCUUCGGGUUGAAAACCGCUGUCGUAGAGGAUCAAAGGUAUUGGGGUUCUCCCCUUUAUUUGAGUGAUUCUAGGAGGAAGGAGAGGCUAAGCUCGUGCCAGCAGCCGCGGUAAGACGAGCUCUCCAAACGUUAUUCGGUAUUACUGGGCUUAAAGAGUUCGUAGGCGGCUUUGCAGGUGGGGUGUGAAAGCCCUCGGCUCAACCGAGGAAUUGCGCCCCAAACCGUAAGGCUUGAGGGAUAUAGGGGUACGCGGAACAGAUGGUGGAGCGGUGAAAUGCAUUGAUAUCAUCUGGAACACCGGUGGCGAAGGCGGCUUACUGGAUAUUUACUGACGCUGAGGAACGAAAGCUAGGGUAGAGAACGGGAUU